UCUCCGUAAAACCUGUAUACUUUCCCAGAAAUGUAAAAUAUAAAUAUACAUAUAUAUUCUCAAAACUUCAUUUUUACUAUCUCAACAUUAUCUCUUUAUCAAUCAUGCCAUGCCAUGUCAUCUCAACAUUUCUCAUAUUAAUUAUGCCAUGCCACAUCAUCUCAACAGUAAUAAGGUAUGAAUGCAUCAACAUAAUCAUAUCAGGUGCAAGAAAGUAAUCAACCGUAGGCCCUCUAAUAGCCCUAUACGGUUGAACCUAGAGCUCAAAAUCUAUCAUUAUCACUCUACCGGAGUCACCUCUGUGACCCGUCCGGCCUUCUGCACACAAGUUACGCUCUAGUGCUUCUCAUAAAUCAUUUGUGCACAUAAUCUAAGGUCACCCACCAGUCGGAAUCUCACUAACACUCUCGCGACUGGUCUGUCGUACCCACUCCGCGUGGACUGUACGACUAGCAUCUACUUGGAUCCAAGGCGAGCGUGCGAUGCGGUGAAUACUAUAAGCACUAAACCAUGGUGCAGGAUUUGAGCUCAAUAUAUAUCAUCAUCAUCAUAACAGUAAUUAAAUACUCACCUGUGCGUCCACCGCACCAUUUCAUACAUAUGCAUCAUAAAUCAAUUCUUACCUGUGCGUCCACCGCACCAAUUCAUACAUAUGCAUCAUAUAUUAAUUCAUGCAUGGCAUUUCAACUCACAUUUCUAUAUACUUUUCAUAUCAAUUCUAUGCAUGGUAUUUCACUUCCCGUUUUUCCACAUAACUCAUAUGCAUUUCAUUUUAAACAUAAUUCAUGCAUUUUCAAUUUCUGGGAAAACGUUAAGUAUAUAUAUAUAUACGGAAAACAAAACUGCCCACUCACCUGGAGUUCGUCCAACAACUCCCUAGCACCACACAUCAAGGCGUCACGACGAUCGCCGCCUAGAAUAGUAAUCAAAUCCAACCUCAGAAUUCAUAUCGAUAGAAUAUAUAACUUAUAUAAAAUACGUCACUAUGUAGUUCGAUCCGGAAGAUCUGCCACUCAGAUUUUAAAUCCAUAACUUCCAGAGGUCCACAAUAUAUCUCUAGGAUAACAUCCUAAAAUUUCAUUACCAUCCAACGGUCGGAUCUCCGUCAAUUUCCAAAACUAAGUGACGGUUAACAUUUUAUAUUAUGGACUUACAAUUCCAAUUCCGGAAGAUCCGUAACUCGAAUUCCCAAUCCGUAAGUUCCAAUAAUCCUCAAAUAUUACGUAUUACAACGUAUCAAAGUUUGGUGACGAUCCAACGGUCGGAUCAUCAAUUCACAUUUUCACCUAAAUGUGAAAACUAUAAAACGUUAUUUGAACACCUAACCAACAAUCCUCAAUAACUUUCUCAUACGGUGUUCAAUUUAGGUAUAUAAAUAUACCACAAUGAUCUACUCGACGUCACGGACGUCGACAUAUUUUUAAAAUAAUUUUAUUUUUAUUUUUUUAUUUUUACUGUAGCACCUUCUUCUUCCUUGGGUCGCCGGACUGGUUUUUCCGGCGGCCGUUUUCCGGGCAGUUUUUCAAAUUGCCAUAACUUUGUCAUUUCUCAACGAAAUCAAGUGAUUCAAAAACGAAAGUUGUAGCCCUUGAAGAGACAAAGAGAAUGGUACCUUUCACAACACCUAGUUCGCCGUGGUUUGGCCGGAAACUGCCUCGAAAGCCUCGGAGGUCGCCGGAAACUGGGUAUUUUUCAAAUGAGUAUAACUUCUUCAAUACUCAACGAAAUUGAGUGAAACAAAAAGGAAAGUUGUAGUACUUGACGAGACGAAGAGAUUGAUACCUACCUCGACUCCUAACUCGCCGGGUAUUCUCCGGAAAACACCUCGAAAGCUCCGGCCAAACUUUGAACUUGUCGAUCUCCGUGUUCUUACGUCCAAAAACUUCCAACGAAGCACUCCGAGCUUCCUUGGGACCUCACUAAGCUUGCUAUGAUCUUAUUUUGGCCUAAAACACAACCACUUCAAAGAUCAUGAAUAGUACACAUUCACGGGGUCUUUAGAACUAGGGUUUUUCGAAAUGAAACUUACCUGAAAAUGGUACCUACGUGAUCGUGAAGUCCUCAGGGUUGCAAUGGUAGUCUUAACUUGGACGUUGGUAUAGGUUUUAGGUGGUUUUGGUGGUUUUGGUGGUUGCCCGUGCGUUCGAGAAGAAGAGAGAGAAUGAGAGUUUCUGAGGAAGAGCUGAGGAAGAGAGAGAGUAUGAAGGACAGUAUACGGGAAAUGGGGAGGGUUUUGAGGUGUGGGGAUCCCACAUGUCCAAACCAAUCCCAAUUUCAUAAAAUUCCAUCAUAAAAUUUAAGUCUAAGUCUCCACUCCAAUUACCAAAUUUUUUUGGAGCUUAGAUAUAACGAACGUGAAAAUUAUACCUUAGUCACAUAUUAGGGACAUUUCCGUAAUUUCAUGUCCUCGGAAUUAAAAAUUCCGGCACGGGCUGUGACAAUCUCCCCUCCUUAUAGAAUUUCGUCCCCGAAAUUCCAGCAACCAACCAAAUCAUCUAUACUCAUACAAUAGCCUCGGAUAAAUCUCUCUCAUCCGAUUCUCUUUCUCCCACACAAUUUUCUACUGAAUGAUUUCCUUCACAAAGCUUUUACUACUUACUCUGUCUUAAUUCUUAGGACCUUCUUUUUCCAAUUCAAAGUCGACAUUAGUUCCUCACCAAUCAGAUCCGGCUUAAUUCUCAAUAGUUGCACCAAAGUCCCAUGUAACGACUCUGCCACUUAGUGACAACGCAUCGAACACAAAAUACAUUAUGUGCCUUAGCCAAUUCUGAAGGCAUCACAAACUUGUAUGCAACUUUAUUGAUUCCUUUAGUAAAAAAAAAAAUGGUCUGAUGUGUCUAAAUCUUAUCUUGUCUCUUUUCCAAUUUUUCAUUCUCGUCAUUUCUGUUCGCGGUGAAUUUUCCAAAAAUAUCAAACCAUUUACCUUACACACUCGAUUAGUGGCAUAUCCAUCUGUUGAUCUCUUUUGCCAUUCCUGGUUACUUCAGGUUAACUUAAUCACCUGAAUACUUUGAGGAAACUCAUCCAUAGUCUCAGGGUCUACUAAAACUCUUUCUUGAUCGAAUCCUUCUCUACCCAGAAACAUUCCAUUCACAAAGUCAUCAAAAACCGACUCACAUGACACAUUUCAUGAUCCUUAUGGCGUUACUUCGGAAACUGCACAACCAACAUACUUAAGAAACUCAGCAGUUCCGUAAACCAAUUCUCUUUUCCAUAAAACAAAUAAGUAAUGUUGCACUGUCUGGGAAAGGUUGUUACUCAACACUGGAGUAAAUGUACUAACUUGUUACUUAACAAGUAAUAACUUCUUCUCGAUCUUCCAUUCUUAAUUUUUCUUCCGUUGGUUUUCAAUCCACAAGAUGAUACUCUUGGCAAACGUGCCAGACAUUAAUCUUACUGUAGUCUUCUCACCAAGUGCUUGAGCUAGAACAAACUUUACGAUCACCCUGAUCGUACAAUCAUGUUCAUUAAGCAAUUCAAUCCACCUUUGUUGCCUCAUAUUGAAAUCCUUCCGAGUAAACAAAUAUUGGAGACUCUUUUGAUUUGUAAAAUCUUGCAUUCUUAUCAACAUAGAAUGUCUCCAUAACUUCACAGCAAGAAUGGUAAUCAUGACUUCCAAGUCACCCGUAGGGUAAUUCAUCUUAUGAGAUUCCAUUUAUCGUGAAACGUAUGCAAUCACCCUAACAUUUGCAUCAACAUGCAUCCAAUACCAUUCAAGAAACAUCACUAAAAAUUUAUGAUUACCACUAUUCUCUGGGAAUACCAAAAUACGUGCAUGAGUGAGGAAAUACUUCAGUUGUUGAAUCCUUUGCUCACAAUUUCCUUCCCACUCAUACAUAACCUCUUUUCUCAACAGUCUCGUCAAUGACAAAGCAAUGACUGAAAAAUCUUUCACAACCAUCCAAGAUAGCCUGGUAAGCUAAGAAAUUCCGAAUCUCAAUUACAGUUCGUGGUUGUUCCAAUUCCUCAAUUUCUGCUAUCUUUUAAGGAUUCACUUGAAUACCUUAAGAAUAUAUAACAAAUCUCAGAAUGCCACCUGAUUCAUCUAACUUUAGCAUUUGCUACUUAGCAUACAACCGACAUUCUUCCAAUCUUUAUUCCACCGACUUAAUACGUUUACAUGCUCUGCUCUGGCUCAGAAUAUGCCAGAAUAUCUUCAAUGAAAAUGAUAUCUAUUUAUCAAGGCAUUAUUGGAAUACUUCAUCCAAUAACUCAUAAAACAGCAUGAGUAUCCAUAUAGCAUCACCAUAGUUCAUAAAACAAUCUUAAGAACAACGUCGCUCAUAAUCUUUAAAUUGGUAAUAACCAGACCUCAAUUCAAUCUUUGAAUCUUCGCAAUUACUUCUGAGCUGGUUAAAUAAACAUCAGUACAUCACCAUGGAUAACGGUUCUCAAUCGUUACCCGACUCCAUUGUCUAUAAUCAAUGAACAGUCUCAAGAUCCAUUUUCUUCCUCACCAACAAACUGGGGCUCCUCAAAAGUGUUGUACUAGGUUGAAUGAAACUUUUAUCAACCAAUUCUUUCAACUGAAUUUCCAAUUCCCUUAACUCAUCCUGAACCAAUCUCCAAUAUAAAUUUAUACCUGGCAACAAAUCAAUAAUGAACCUCAUAUCUCUGCCUGAAGGCAAUCCAGGUAUACUUUCAAGGAAGACAUCAAGAAAAGUCUAACUCUUUCGACAUUAUUCACACUACUCCAAACAACAUCAUUUAGCACCACAUGAGCUAAGUAUUUUUGACAGUCUUUCGAAAACAAUCUCUUUGCUCUCACAGCAUAAAUAACGGCCUGACUCAAUCCAUUUUGCAUACUUACAAAAGUAAUCUCUGUUCAUCCAGAUCGAUGGAAAGUACUGGUUUCCCAUAACAUUUCGUCUUGUCACAAUUAUAACCAACCAAUCUAAUGGAACAGAAUUAACUGAUACAAUAUAUAUUUUAUUAUUAUUAAGCAUUCCAAAUAAGUACAAUACUAACAUAAAAUAAUCUACCGGGUUGCUUGCUUAACGAAUCCACGAAUGAGUUAUUAAUAUUACGGUCUGCAGCCCGCAAUACUGAUAAAUCAUCGUUGUCUCGAUAAGUAGGCAACCACUCUCAAAGAUAUAACAUUACUAUUUUGUCACUCAAUGCAAAAUACAUACACUCUCAUCUCAACUACAUUUAUUUACUACUCUCAAGGUAAUAACAUACAUAAUAAGAAAUAUAUCAGCCGAAGUCAACUAGAAUGACCAAUACGGCUGAUUCAACUCUUAUCUCAAUAAUACGUCGGCCGGAUCCACUCCGCGUGGUCGGUACGGCCGAGCCUAUAACUCACAAAUUUCGCAUGUGUCAAUCGAAUCCACUUCUCGUGGCCUGUACGGCUGAACAUAUAACUCAUCAAAUCUCUCUGUACUCACGGUCAAUCCGACCAAACUACUAAGUCCAUAACUCUGCUGAAUCGACACUAUGAUAUCAUGGAAAAUUAUUGAGUACAACUGAUUCUAGGGACGAUUCACAAUUCUGUGUCCCCUCUGUUCACAUAAACACAUUCAUUAAUUUCACAUUUCCCAAAGUGUUAAUUUUGUACCUGCUGCACAAGGUACAUUUCUUUUACUCGAGACACCUUGUCUCAAAUAUCUGGGAUUACCAGUAUAUCCAUCACUUUUACUCUGACCAACGACACUAAAACCUCAGCUGGAAGAAUUAACUCUAGCUUCACUUCUUUCGAAGCUCUGAAUCCUUCGAUAUUCUUGAUAUGACGAAUCAUUAACUUUAUCGUCUUCUUUUAAUUCCCAUUCUUUUCUUAUUCCUCUUCACUCUAGCUGAUCAUAUUCUCAGAGUCCUCAAGACUCAACAGCAUCUCGUAUAUUCUUGGUAAGAAGUACAAUGGAUAGUGGUCACCCAAAAUACCACUUCCCUUUUUUGCCACCCAGCUUAAAACAACAUAACACCUCCACCAAAUUAACAACAAUAUCUGGAUGGAACGAGGCAAGUCUGAAAACUUUCUAUAAUAUCCCUCGAUCAUCACCUUCCUUGUCUCAUAUUUGUAAACUCUUGUUUACUACCAUCGAUAAAUGCCGGAGGGAUAAACUUUUCCUUUAAACAAGUCCUUAAACAAUUCUCAAUCGACUGAUUCCUCUGGUGACAACAAUUCAUACUCCUGUUUCCACCAGGAUACAAAUUCAUAACCAAAACCAGGUAGUCGUCUCGACCCCUUGUCAGAAGGAAGAUUCCUUUGACUUGCAUAUUCCGAAACAUCUUUUCCAAUUGGUUAAUCCGUCACUUUGUUCCCUCAGGUUCAUCAUUUCUCUUAAGUGAUUCAAAUUCAACUCAUAACCCGUCUUAAAAUGUCCAUUUUUCUAAUAUACUGAAUCACCAUAAGAAUAGUUUCCCCUAACCCGCUAAAUCAGGGAGACUAAGUUCCUCUAACUACGUGGUUUGCUACGAGGCGGUGUAGUUCUGACAGAAUUCACUAGAACUUCUCAAAAUGUCCAAGAUUGCAACCAUGCUCUGAUACCAACUGACACACCCCGUCCCGAAGGAGGGCAUGCUGGCCGUCACGUGAGAGUGACGUAACCAUUUGCACAGUACGGAAGCUUUAAUUAUACAAUUUAUAAGUUGAUACACCCGAAGGUGAGUCCUAAUUUUGUCCAAUCUGUCAGAACCCCGCUGUAUUCCUCGUAGUCACCACACCUUUGUGAUUCCUGAACCUGGAGGGGCGCAAAACCAAAAUUGAGUGGGUCAGUAAAACAAUUCUUUUCCAAAUCCAAACAUUUCUCAAAACGUUGUAACCCCUCUCUCCGUAAAACCUGUAUACUUUCCCAGAAAUGUAAAAUAUAAAUAUACAUAUAUAUUCUCAAAACUUCAUUUUUACUAUCUCAACAUUAUCUCUUUAUCAAUCAUGCCAUGCCAUGUCAUCUCAACAUUUCUCAUAUUAAUUAUGCCAUGCCACAUCAUCUCAACAGUAAUAAGGUAUGAAUGCAUCAACAUAAUCAUAUCAGGUGCAAGAAAGUAAUCAACCGUAGGCCUUCUAAUAGCCCUAUACGGUUGAACCUAGAGCUCAAAAUCUAUCAUUAUCACUCUACCGGAGUCACCUCUGUGACCCGUCCGGCCUUCUGCACACAAGUUACGCUCUAGUGCUUCUCAUAAAUCAUCUGUGCACAUAAUCUAAGGUCACCCACCAGUCGGAAUCUCACUAACACUCUCGCGACUGGUCUGUCGUACCCACUCCGCGUGGACUGUACGACUAGCAUCUACUUGGAUCCAAGGCGAGCGUGCGAUGCGGUGAAUACUAUAAGCACUAAACCAUGGUGCAGGAUUUGAGCUCAAUAUAUAUCAUCAUCAUCAUAACAGUAAUUAAAUACUCACCUGUGCGUCCACCGCACCAUUUCAUACAUAUGCAUCAUAAAUCAAUUCUUACCUGUGCGUCCACCGCACCAAUUCAUACAUAUGCAUCAUAUAUUAAUUCAUGCAUGGCAUUUCAACUCACAUUUCUAUAUACUUUUCAUAUCAAUUCUAUGCAUGGUAUUUCACUUCCCGUUUUUCCACAUAACUCAUAUGCAUUUCAUUUUAAACAUAAUUUCAUGCAUUUUCAAUUUCUGGGAAAACGUUAAGUAUAUAUAUAUAUAUACGGAAAACAAAACUGCCCACUCACCUGGAGUUCGUCCAACAACUCCCUAGCACCACACAUCAAGGCGUCACGACGAUCGCCGCCUAGAAUAGUAAUCAAAUCCAACCUCAGAAUUCAUAUCGAUAGAAUAUAUAACUUAUAUAAAAUACGUCACUAUGUAGUUCGAUCCGGAAGAUCUGCCACUCAG
rnacentral:lncRNA from 1 species